rnacentral:lncRNA from 1 species
AAUCUAAUUGAUUGUCUCUAUAGUAGAGAUGAUAUGGUAGUGUUAACUGUUUAGAAUAUAAUGAUGCUUAAAAACCCAAAAGGUUGCAAGGUAGUGACUAAUCCCAACUAAAGUUGUGAUACCUCUAAAACAUAAAUUACGAGUUGGUCAAAGAUGGAUGCUUUAGAUCAUUAGAUCCGGAUCCAAUACCUUCUUAUUAAAAUUGUAUAGAGGUGAAAUGUUCGAAUCUUUAUUCUUUUGGAAAGAAGAAAGAAUCACAAAGUUGUUGAGGUUAAUUCACUUAGAUGUUAGUGGCACUUGUCCACAACAUAAUACUACUCAUGUUAUAUGACAUUCACCGAAGAUCACUCUCGGUUGGACUAUAGUUUAUUUUGAAUAAACACAAAUCCGAAUACUUUGCAAAAUGUUUCAAAGAAUUCAAGUAAUGUAAGUUGAUGAGUAAAACGUCUAAAGUAUUUACCUCCUUAGAUUUGAUCCAAGAUAAGGUAACACUUUAGAACAGUUUCCUUGAAAGAUAUCAAGGAAAGAAGCAUCAUAAGAUAAUAAAUUUCUCCAUUAAGGAGAAGAACGAACUUAAAUAAGAUUUAGUUCGUUGGAUGUUAUCUAUUACCCAUAUAUAGGAUAUAUACUUCUAAAAACAAUAUGAUUUUCAAUUAGAAGAUCUUCCAAAAAUUUUCAUAACUCCAUAAGAUGUAGUUGGAAAGAAAGACAAAUCUUAAGCAUGUUAAGAUUUGGGGUUGUGAGCUAAUAAGCAAUAUUUGUUUGAUAACAAUCUUGUGGGAUAUCCUUAAAUUAACUUUUGGAUAUCGCUUCUAUAAACCAACUAACAAAUGUUGUUUUGUUGGGUAGUUCAUUGUAAUCCUACAAUGUGAUUUGCCUAAGAGCAAAUGAACGAGAGAUAGAACUCAAAGAAUGGGUUCUUUGAGAGACAAGAAAGUAAUCAACAAAUAUAAACAACCUAGUUCCUAUACCAAAAGCUCCAAGGUAGUCAAGAAGGAUUUAUAAACCGUCUCAGUUGAAUGGUUUGAACUUUAUGACUAUGUCAUAGAGUUGCACCUCUUAAUUCGAAGAAAUAAGAAUGAAAAUCCUUAUGACUACUUUGAGUGUAUAUAUGAUAUAUACUCAAGGAAAUGGUAAAGUACCAUUUGACCCGAAAUAAUGAAACCUUCAUA